AUGGAGUUUGGAUUAAAGCUCUUGUUCAUCAUUGCAAUACUUAGAGGUGCCCAGUCAGACGUGCAGCUGUUAGAGUCUGGAGGAGACGUGAAAAGGCCCGGAGAAUCCCUCCGCCUCUCCUGCCAAGCCUCCGGGUUCAGCUUCAGAAACUAUGCAAUGAACUGGGUGAGAGAAGCACCUGAAAAACGUUGGGAAUGGGUGGCGGGCAUUAGUGCUGAUUCAUCUACCAUUUACUACUUGAAUUCAGUGAAGGGCCAAUUCACCGUCUCCAGGGACAAUUCCAACAGCCAGCUGUAUUUGCAAAUGAGCGGCCUGAAAGCUGAGGACACUGCUGUGUAUUAUUGCGUGAGAUGCACAGUGUGA